UACGUAGGGGGCAAGCGUUGUCCGGAAUUAUUGGGCGUAAAGAGCGUGUAGGCGGCCAGGUAGGUCCGGUGUGAAAACUCGAGGCUUAACCUCGAGAUGUCAUCGGAAACCAUCUGGCUAGAGUCCGGAAGAGGAGAGUGGAAUUCCUGGUGUAGCGGUGAAAUGCGCAGAUAUCAGGAAGAACACCAAUGGCGAAGGCAGCUCUCUGGGACGGUACUGACGCUGAGACGCGAAAGCGUGGGGAGCGAACAGG
rnacentral:rRNA from 1 species